rnacentral:rRNA from 1 species
CUUUGACCUGAACUCAGACGUGAUU